rnacentral:lncRNA from 12 species
GGCAUUUUAAAGUGUCAAGAUAUAAGCUGCAAAGGAGAAUUUUAGAACCUACCCUGAAGAGGGAAGAGAAAUUAUUUUCUAAGAAAGAAGAACACAACAGAGGGGAUUAAUCACUGCGAGGUGCAAGAGUGAG